GAAAAACUUUUCAAGCCAUGUAAAAUGGCAUUUACUAAACUUUCAAAAAGCAGAAAACUCUUCGGCAUUCUUUUCAUUAAAAAAGCAGCUUAAAAACUUAUUUUGCAAUAUUGUUCACACAUUUUUCAUUGCUGAUCUCAUAUUUUCUAAAAUCUCAAUAAUAUAGGGCACUCCUAUACAUAAACGUUAGCUUCCCCCUUUGUUUACAGGACCUUGAGCCCUGGUGCAUCUCCUCCUCAAGAUCCAGGGGGCAGUUUAACAAAAGUUAUUCCUAGUUUUUGCCCAGGCUUUGUGUUCAGCCUGGAUAUGGUCUGUCAUUUGUAUCUUCCUGACACGUCAUGAAGUGAAACAAGCCAGCUUCUCCUAGCAGACAUUCCCCACAAGAUUCUUUUUAUCUUACUGUGCACAGACUGUUUGAAGCCCUGCCUCUGUCCUCUGUGUGUUUUACAGUUUAUUUUUUCACUCUUUCCUUGCAGAUAUGUGAAUCAGCUCAGAUUAAGUUUAAAAAAAAUAAUAAUGCAGCAUACGGGGUCUAUGUUGUUCCAAGGAGCUGGGAAAAUUUUUAGGCAUAAAGGGAGAGAGCAGGGAAGUUUAGACAUUUGUUUUCCAUUAAAACUGCUCUUCCGAGUGCUGCCGAGGAGAAUGCGGCUCAGGCUCCGUGUGCUUUCCGAACUGAAACACAAACACCUCGCUGCAAAUUGCUUUUUAUUUACUGCAUGAGCUCAGUGACAAACUGCUUCCUACUCAAGGGGACAUACAACAUGCAUACCAUAUAAUUGGGAAGCGGUUCAGGAAGCUGCCACGUCUGUAGGGCUCCAGCGCACAAAAGGAGGCGGAGGUAGCAGGAAUACCUUCUACUUGACGAACUUGGAAAUUCUGGUGCCACAUCAGCAGGAGCACGGCCCAGCACAGCACUCUUCAGUCACUGCAGAGCUGAAAUGCACCACAGAAGUGAUUCAAGGCACAAAACUACCCAAAUGCCUGCUAAUAUCUGCCCUUCUGCCCCUCACAUCUCAGUCAGCAGGAGAUGGUACACACUUUAAACCUCUAUUUACCACAAAGUGCCUAAUUCCAUUUAGUAUACUAGGAAAUUCCCAACUCUAUAUCCAAAAGCCUCUCAGCCAGCUUCUCUGUGAAUCAUAGAACUGAGGCACAGUGAGACUGAGGAUAUAUCAAGACCAUGCAGUACGAUUUCACAACCUUGUACCUGACCUGACUUGGGAGCCAAAGCCUAGCAGACAGAGAGAGCCAAUGCGGCUCCUACCCUAAGGAGACCCAGGUCCCAAUGGCUUCUGGUUCUAGAACUAAUUCAGGAAUGUCUGUAUGAUGUUGUGACUGCCAUGAAGACAUAAAUGUCAUUCUUGGCUAGCUUUGGUUCCGUUGUGCUCACAUUCUGAGUAGCCAGCAUACAGGAAACUCGAGCUUUUUUGUCCCAGAGGUUGGGAGAGGGACUUUGAGCCACAUGUAUGGGACGCCUUACCUGGGUUUGGGCCCAUUGCGUAGCUUUUUAACAGAGUGAGUUCAUUUAUAAACAGUGAAACGUAUUUCCAAUUCUAUGCACUAUGAAGAGGUGAUCCAGGAAAAAUUCAUGAUUGUAUUAGCAAGGCCAAACAGUGACCACUUGUAUGGACACUUACUGUAGGGGUAGCAGCACAAGUACGAGCAUCCCAUUUAUCUGCUCAACCCCUAAAAGCAGCGAAGUGUGAAUUAAAGAAAACCUUUGAUUCAUGCACCUUUUUACACCUAUUUAACCAUAUAUCUGAAAUAAGACUGUGUGUACACAGAGCCAUGGCUCUACCUAUUUCAGACAUGAUAUAUUUGAGGACAGAAGAGCCUGUAGAAGUGUCUGCUGUAAAAACCAUCCUUGGAACCUAUGAGAGCUGGCAUCAUAUGCUGAUUAUUAACAUUUAUAUUCACAUGUACUUGGGAUGUUGAAACAUGCAGAAAAGAAGAGGGACAUAUAACGACUUAACAGGGACUAUAAAAAGCUUAUGUUGGAAGCAAAAAGGAGAAACAAAUAUCAGAAUUCAGAGAAAAAUGUAAGAAAUAAGUGAAGUCUCCCCCCCCACAAAAGUAUAUUUUAUCUAGACAGAAGCAAGUUGAUUUAGAUGUUUAAAGCUGGAAAUUAAUGUAUUCAAUUACUAUUUUUCAAAUAUUUUCAAAAAGUUUGAAGGAAGCCAUAAAUACAGCUACACAGAAGAGUGUUGGAUCAUCUAGAAAAUAAAUACAGUUGUGGACUGUUCUCA
rnacentral:lncRNA from 1 species